rnacentral:rRNA from 1 species
CAGUAGCCGCGGUAAUACGUAGGUGGCAAGCGUUGUCCGGAAUUAUUGGGCGUAAAGGGAUCGCAGGCGGUUUCUUAAGUCUGAUGUGAAAGCCCCCGGCUCAACCGGGGAGGGCCAUUGGAAACUGGGAAACUUGAGUGCAGAAGAGGAGAGAGGAAUUCCACGUGUAGCGGUGAAAUGCGUAGAGAUGUGGAGGAACACCAGUGGCGAAGGCGACUCUCUGGUCUGUAACUGACGCUGAGGAGAGAAAGCGUGGGGAGCGAACAGGAUUAGAUACCCGCGUAGUCCCUGUCUCUUAUAC